rnacentral:rRNA from 1 species
UGGGGAAUAUUGGGCAAUGGGCGAAAGCCUGACCCAGCAACGCCGCGUGAAGGAAGAAGGCUUUCGGGUUGUAAACUUCUUUUCUCAGGGACGAAGCAAGUGACGGUACCUGAGGAAUAAGCCACGGCUAACUACGUGCCAGCAGCCGCGGUAAUACGUAGGUGGCAAGCGUUAUCCGGAUUUACUGGGUGUAAAGGGCGUGUAGGCGGGACUGCAAGUCAGAUGUGAAAACCACGGGCUCAGCCUGUGGCCUGCAUUUGAAACUGUAGUUCUUGAGUACUGGAGAGGCAGACGGAAUUCCUAGUGUAGCGGUGAAAUGCGUAGAUAUUAGGAGGAACACCAGUGGCGAAGGCGGUCUGCUGGACAGCAACUGACGCUGAGGCGCGAAAGCGUGGGGAGCAAACAGGAUUAGAUACCC